CUAUCAUUUGGCAGCCACUGAUCAGUUUUUCUUCUCUAUAAUAAUGUUAUUGUAUUGCACAAAUAUUACAAAAAUGGAGCUAUGCAAUAUGCAUGUUUUUAAGACUGGCUUCUUUUAUUCUCUAAGCAUAAUUUCCUUUAGGUUUAUGGAAGUUCUUAGGUGUGUUUAUGCAAGUUCUUAGCUCAUUCCUUUUUAUUACUGAGUAGUGUUUCACGGUAUGUAUGAAUGUAUCAUUGCUUAACCAUUUAUCCACUGAAGGACAUUUGGGUAGUUUUCUAUUUACAGGUAUUAUAAAUUAAGCUACUAAGAAUAUUUGUUUACAAGGCCCUGGGUGAAAAUGACUUGUCAUUUCUCUGCAACAAAUGCCCAAGAAUGCAAUUUCCAGGUUGUAUGCUUAUCUUUUCAUCUUUUUCUCAACGUAAAAGGUUUUAAUUUUGUGCCUGAAUUUCUAGUACUAUGCCAAAAAGAGUGGGGAGAGAAAAUAACCAUGCCUCGUUCCUGA
rnacentral:lncRNA from 13 species